UUUGCUGGAAAAGAAAACAGCAGAAGCCAAGGUAAAUAACAUCUUUGUGUGGCGUGUUGCAGCUGUCACAGCCGCCAGCAGACAGCCGACUCCCUCACCAGUAAACACCGCGGCUUAGGUGUUGCCCACCGGGCACCGGAAGGCGGCCCCCUUCUCGCUCUCCAGUGAAUGUUCCUAAAACAACUGCGGGGUCCAAGAGCACAGGGAGAACAGCGCCCCUGACGCAGGCUGCGCACCCGCCCGGAGGAGGCAGCGUGUCAGUCCUGAGGUCACCGCCACCCGCUCCCGGGGGACGGCCGCCUGAGGCUGUGCGCUGGGCAGGUGAGGAGGCGACCACCUCCCAGACGCCUGCCGGAGCUGCGGCGCACCGACUCCCUGCUUCCCCGAGCGGCGAGCGCCACCUGGAGGCUCCCUCGAGAUCUGCAUUUAGGAGGCGACGGGUCCUUUCGUCGUUUUAUUCAUUAAACGUUUGUCGAGGCCUGGAGCGAUGGUUCAAGCCUGUAAUCCCAGCACUUUGGGAGACCGAGACGGGCGGAUCACUUGAGGUCAGGAGUUGGAGACCAGUUUGGCCAACAUGGCGAAACCCCAUCUCUACUAAAAAUACAAAAAUUAGCCGGGCACGGUGGCGCACACCUGUAAUCCCAGCUACUCAUGAUGAGGCUGAGGCACAAGAAUCGCUUGAACCCGAGAGGCGGAAGUUGCAGUGAGCGGAGAUGGAGCCACUGUGUGUUAGGCUCUGGUGACGUGGGGAGAAAUAAAGAUAAUGUCUUGUUUCC
rnacentral:lncRNA from 1 species